rnacentral:rRNA from 1 species
CCCCAGACUCCUACGGGAGGCAGCAGUGGGGAAUAUUGCACAAUGGGGGGAACCCUGAUGCAGCGACGCCGCGUGGGUGAAGGAGCACCUCGGUGCGUAAGGCCCUAUCGGCAGGGAAGAAACAGACGGUACCUGACUAAGAAGCCCCGGCUAACUACGUGCCAGCAGCCGCGGUAAUACGUAGGGGGCAAGCGUUAUCCGGAUUCACUGGGUGUAAAGGGGGCGCAGACGGCAGCGCAAGCCAGGAGUGAAAGCCCGGGGCCCAACCCCGGGACUGCUCUUGGAACUGCGCGGCUGGAGUGCAGGAGGGGCAGGCGGAAUUCCUGGUGUAGCGGUGAAAUGCGUAGAUAUUAGGAGGAACACCAGUGGCGAAGGCGGCCUGCUGGACGAUGACUGACGCUGAGGCUCGAAAGCGUGGGGAGCAAACAGGAUUAGAUACCCGAGUA